GGUUCCCAGUCGGAUUCAUUUCCACUGCGCCACGAUGGGAACUCCUGCAUCCGCUUCUUUGAACUCACGUCUCACCCCUCCCACUUGUGCUCUGUGCUCCAACAGGCCCUGUCUACCCCAGGGCCUUUGCACCGCUGGCCCUGUCACAUGGUGCAUUUCCUCCUCCUCGCCCUUCCCCAGCUCCCUUCUCCUGGUGUCGGAGAUCUGCCGCAGUCUCGCAUACACAGAGACAGCCUUUCAAAACCCGGUCAACCUCUUCUUACGUCUCCAAGAUCAACCACCUCUCCGUUGCAGACCCCUUCGGGGCCCUGAGCCCACCAAGCCCUGCUGUGCCCUUGUCUCUGGGGUGGGUGACGGCUGUAGGUGCCCAGUGAACAAAUGAUGACAACUGCCCCUGCUUUCCCUGACAAGGCGACACAAGCCUACAGACGACACAAAAGCCUGCUGGCUGACCACUGCAGGGAACGUGUUAUUCUCAGGCAAAGACAAGGAGCAGCUCGUCCUAUUCCCGUCGCUGCCGCCACACACGGGCCGUGGGGCAAAGACUAAGCCGCAUCCGA